rnacentral:rRNA from 1 species
GAUGAACGCUAGCUACAGGCUUAACACAUGCAAGUCGAGGGGUAACGAGAGGAAAGCUUGCUUUCCUUGUCGACGACCGGCGCACGGGUGAGUAACGCGUAUCCAACCUGCCCCCAACUAGGGAAUAACCUUGCGAAAGUAAGACUAAUACCCUAUAAUUUCCUCAGAUGUCAUCUGACGAGGAAUAAAGAUUUAUCGGUUGUGGAUGGGGAAGCGUCUGAUUAGCUUGUUGGCGGGGUAACGGCCUACCAAGGCAACGAUCAGUAGGGGUUCUGAGAGGAAGGUCCCCCACAUUGGAACUGAGACACGGUCCAAACUCCGACGGGAGGCAGCAGUGAGGAAUAUUGGUCAAUGGGCGGAAGCCUGAACCAGCCAAGUAGCGUGCAGGAUGACGGCCCUAUGGGUUGUAAACUGCUUUUAUACAGGAAUAAAGUUAGCCACGUGUGGUUAUUUGUAGGUACUGUAUGAAUAAGGACCGGCUAAUUCCGUGCCAGCAGCCGCAGUAA